ACUCCUACGGGAGGCAGCAGUGGGGAAUAUUGCACAAUGGGCGCAAGCCUGAUGCAGCCAUGCCGCGUGUGUGAAGAAGGCCUUCGGGUUGUAAAGCACUUUCAGUCGUGAGGAAGGUAGUGUAGUUAAUAGCUGCAUUAUUUGUACGUUAGCGACAGAAGAAGCACCGGCUAACUCCGUGCCAGCAGCCGCGGUAAUACGGAGGGUGCGAGCGUUAAUCGGAAUUACUGGGCGUAAAGCGCAUGCAGGUGGUUUGUUAAGUUCAGAUGUGAAAGCCCGGGGCUCAACCUCGGAAUAGCAUUUGAAACUGGCAGACUAGAGUACUGUAGAGGGGGUAGGAAUUUCAGGUGUAGCGGUGAAAUGCGUAGAGAUCUGAAGGAAUACCGGUGGCGAAGGCGGCCCCUGGACAGAUACUGACACUCAGAUGCGAAA
rnacentral:rRNA from 1 species